AUGCGUUGUUGGGUAGGGGAGCGUUCUGUAAGCCUGCGAAGGUGUGCUGUGAGGCAUGCUGGAGGUAUCAGAAGUGCGAAUGCUGACAUAAGUAACGAUAAAGCGGGUGAAAAGCCCGCUCGCCGGAAGACCAAGGGUUCCUGUCCAACGUUAAUCGGGGCAGGGUGAGUCGACCCCUAAGGCGAGGCCGAAAGGCGUAGUCGAUGGGAAACAGGUUAAUAUUCCUGUACUUGGUGUUACUGCGAAGGGGGGACGGAGAAGGCUAUGUUGGCCGGGCGACGGUUGUCCCGGUUUAAGCGUGUAGGCUGGUUUUCCAGGCAAAUCCGGAAAAUCAAGGCUGAGGCGUGAUGACGAGGCACUGCGGUGCUGAAGCAACAAAUGCCCUGCUUCCAGGAAAAGCCUCUAAGCAUCAGGUAACAUCAAAUCGUACCCCAAACCGACACAGGUGGUCAGGUAGAGAAUACCAAGGCGCUUGAGAGAACUCGGGUGAAGGAACUAGGCAAAAUGGUGCCGUAACUUCGGGAGAAGGCACGCUGAUAUGUAGGUGAAGUCCCUCGCGGAUGGAGCUGAAAUCAGUCGAAGAUACCAGCUGGCUGCAACUGUUUAUUAAAAACACAGCACUGUGCAAACACGAAAGUGGACGUAUACGGUGUGACGCCUGCCCGGUGCCGGAAGGUUAAUUGAUGGGGUUAGCGCAAGCGAAGCUCUUGAUCGAAGCCCCGGUAAACGGCGGCCGUAACUAUAACGGUCCUAAGGUAGCGAAAUUCCUUGUCGGGUAAGUUCCGACCUGCACGAAUGGCGUAAUGAUGGCCAGGCUGUCUCCACCCGAGACUCAGUGAAAUUGAACUCGCUGUGAAGAUGCAGUGUACCCGCGGCAAGACGGAAAGACCCCGUGAACCUUUACUAUAGCUUGACACUGAACAUUGAGCCUUGAUGUGUAGGAUAGGUGGGAGGCUUUGAAGUGUGGACGCCAGUCUGCAUGGAGCCGACCUUGAAAUACCACCCUUUAAUGUUUGAUGUUCUAACGUUGACCCGUAAUCCGGGUUGCGGACAGUGUCUGGUGGGUAGUUUGACUGGGGCGGUCUCCUCCUAAAGAGUAACGGAGGAGCACGAAGGUUGGCUAAUCCUGGUCGGACAUCAGGAGGUUAGUGCAAUGGCAUAAGCCAGCUUGACUGCGAGCGUGACGGCGCGAGCAGGUGCGAAAGCAGGUCAUAGUGAUCCGGUGGUUCUGAAUGGAAGGGCCAUCGCUCAACGGAUAAAAGGUACUCCGGGGAUAACAGGCUGAUACCGCCCAAGAGUUCAUAUCGACGGCGGUGUUUGGCACCUCGAUGUCGGCUCAUCACAUCCUGGGGCUGAAGUAGGUCCCAAGGGUAUGGCUGUUCGCCAUUUAAAGUGGUACGCGAGCUGGGUUUAGAACGUCGUGAGACAGUUCGGUCCCUAUCUGCCGUGGGCGCUGGAGAACUGAGGGGGGCUGCUCCUAGUACGAGAGGACCGGAGUGGACGCAUCACUGGUGUUCGGGUUGUCAUGCCAAUGGC
rnacentral:rRNA from 1 species